UCGUCAGAUCGUCGAUGAAUUCUGUGUAUCUGAAUGGAACCAUGAUCUGCAUAUGAUCGUUUCAGGGCAUGGUCAGCCAGGGAACAUGAUUUUGCAUUCAUACCCGGUAACUAAAACGAUGAGAAGCAAGCAAGCCAUCACUCACUCCCUUGAUAAUUUGUUUUUGAACGAAAUCCAAAAAAAAAUUAUCAGUACUGUCCUUACCAAAAUCAAAGACAUGUUACUUUUCAGAAGUUUUCCCUAUUCUUUUAGUAAAAAGGUUGGUUGGACAUGGACUAGUAAUAAAGCUUAUGCUCUACUACUUUUUGAAGAAAAAACAACUGAUGCACAUGUUUCACGUGUCUUAUUCUCACCAUGUCAAUUCCAGCACCAACACC
rnacentral:misc_RNA from 1 species